rnacentral:rRNA from 3 species
UUAAGUUAUUAAGGGCGCACGGUGGAUGCCUUGGCACUAGAAGCCGAUGAAGGACGUUACUAACGACGAUAUGCUUUGGGGAGCUGUAAGUAAGCUUUGAUCCAGAGAUUUCCGAAUGGGGAAACCUAGCAUGAGUUAUGUCAUGUUAUCGAUAUGUGAAUACAUAGCAUAUCAGAAGGCACACCCGGAGAACUGAAACAUCUUAGUACCCGGAGGAAGAGAAAGAAAAUUCGAUUCCCUUAGUAGCGGCGAGCGAAACGGGAAGAGCCCAAACCAACAAGCUUGCUUGUUGGGGUUGUAGGACACUCUGUACGGAGUUACAAAGGACGACAUUAGACGAAUCAUCUGGAAAGAUGAAUCAAAGAAGGUAAUAAUCCUGUAGUCGAAAAUGUUGUCUCUCUUGAGUGGAUCCUGAGUACGACGGAGCACGUGAAAUUCCGUCGGAAUCUGGGAGGACCAUCUCCUAAGGCUAAAUACUCUCUAGUGACCGAUAGUGAACCAGUACCGUGAGGGAAAGGUGAAAAGCACCCCGGAAGGGGAGUGAAAUAGAACCUGAAACCGUGUGCUUACAAGUAGUCAGAGCCCGUUAAUGGGUGAUGGCGUGCCUUUUGUAGAAUGAACCGGCGAGUUACGAUUUGAUGCAAGGUUAAGCAGUAAAUGUGGAGCCGUAGCGAAAGCGAGUCUGAAUAGGGCGUUUAGUAUUUGGUCGUAGACCCGAAACCAGGUGAUCUACCCUUGGUCAGGUUGAAGUUCAGGUAACACUGAAUGGAGGACCGAACCGACUUACGUUGAAAAGUGAGCGGAUGAACUGAGGGUAGCGGAGAAAUUCCAAUCGAACCUGGAGAUAGCUGGUUCUCUCCGAAAUAGCUUUAGGGCUAGCCUCAAGUGAUGAUUAUUGGAGGUAGAGCACUGUUUGGACGAGGGGCCCCUCUCGGGUUACCGAAUUCAGACAAACUCCGAAUGCCAAUUAAUUUAACUUGGGAGUCAGAACAUGGGUGAUAAGGUCCGUGUUCGAAAGGGAAACAGCCCAGACCACCAGCUAAGGUCCCAAAAUAUAUGUUAAGUGGAAAAGGAUGUGGCGUUGCCCAGACAACUAGGAUGUUGGCUUAGAAGCAGCCAUCAUUUAAAGAGUGCGUAAUAGCUCACUAGUCGAGUGACACUGCGCCGAAAAUGUACCGGGGCUAAACAUAUUACCGAAGCUGUGGAUUGUCCUUUGGACAAUGGUAGGAGAGCGUUCUAAGGGCGUUGAAGCAUGAUCGUAAGGACAUGUGGAGCGCUUAGAAGUGAGAAUGCCGGUGUGAGUAGCGAAAGACGGGUGAGAAUCCCGUCCACCGAUUGACUAAGGUUUCCAGAGGAAGGCUCGUCCGCUCUGGGUUAGUCGGGUCCUAAGCUGAGGCCGACAGGCGUAGGCGAUGGAUAACAGGUUGAUAUUCCUGUACCACCUAUAAUCGUUUUAAUCGAUGGGGGGACGCAGUAGGAUAGGCGAAGCGUGCGAUUGGAUUGCACGUCUAAGCAGUAAGGCUGAGUAUUAGGCAAAUCCGGUACUCGUUAAGGCUGAGCUGUGAUGGGGAGAAGACAUUGUGUCUUCGAGUCGUUGAUUUCACACUGCCGAGAAAAGCCUCUAGAUAGAAAAUAGGUGCCCGUACCGCAAACCGACACAGGUAGUCAAGAUGAGAAUUCUAAGGUGAGCGAGCGAACUCUCGUUAAGGAACUCGGCAAAAUGACCCCGUAACUUCGGGAGAAGGGGUGCUCUUUAGGGUUAACGCCCAGAAGAGCCGCAGUGAAUAGGCCCAAGCGACUGUUUAUCAAAAACACAGGUCUCUGCUAAACCGUAAGGUGAUGUAUAGGGGCUGACGCCUGCCCGGUGCUGGAAGGUUAAGAGGAGUGGUUAGCUUCUGCGAAGCUACGAAUCGAAGCCCCAGUAAACGGCGGCCGUAACUAUAACGGUCCUAAGGUAGCGAAAUUCCUUGUCGGGUAAGUUCCGACCCGCACGAAAGGCGUAACGAUUUGGGCACUGUCUCAACGAGAGACUCGGUGAAAUCAUAGUACCUGUGAAGAUGCAGGUUACCCGCGACAGGACGGAAAGACCCCGUGGAGCUUUACUGUAGCCUGAUAUUGAAAUUCGGCACAGCUUGUACAGGAUAGGUAGGAGCCUUUGAAACGUGAGCGCUAGCUUACGUGGAGGCGCUGGUGGGAUACUACCCUAGCUGUGUUGGCUUUCUAACCCGCACCACUUAUCGUGGUGGGAGACAGUGUCAGGCGGGCAGUUUGACUGGGGCGGUCGCCUCCUAAAAGGUAACGGAGGCGCUCAAAGGUUCCCUCAGAAUGGUUGGAAAUCAUUCAUAGAGUGUAAAGGCAUAAGGGAGCUUGACUGCGAGACCUACAAGUCGAGCAGGGUCGAAAGACGGACUUAGUGAUCCGGUGGUUCCGCAUGGAAGGGCCAUCGCUCAACGGAUAAAAGCUACCCCGGGGAUAACAGGCUUAUCUCCCCCAAGAGUUCACAUCGACGGGGAGGUUUGGCACCUCGAUGUCGGCUCAUCGCAUCCUGGGGCUGUAGUCGGUCCCAAGGGUUGGGCUGUUCGCCCAUUAAAGCGGUACGCGAGCUGGGUUCAGAACGUCGUGAGACAGUUCGGUCCCUAUCCGUCGUGGGCGUAGGAAAUUUGAGAGGAGCUGUCCUUAGUACGAGAGGACCGGGAUGGACAUACCUCUGGUGUACCAGUUGUCGUGCCAACGGCAUAGCUGGGUAGCUAUGUGUGGACGGGAUAAGUGCUGAAAGCAUCUAAGCAUGAAGCCCCCCUCAAGAUGAGAUUUCCCAACUUCGGUUAUAAGAUCCCUCAAAGAUGAUGAGGUUAAUAGGUUCGAGGUGGAAGCAUGGUGACAUGUGGAGCUGACGAAUACUAAUCGAUCGAAGACUUAAUCAA